CAGUCAGUACAAAAUCCGUUUGAACAGCCAUUAUUAUAGCCUUGCAUUGAGAAUAUCUCCUCAUUAAAUAAAACACAGAAGUACAGAGAUAUUUCCAAUGCAAUGCAAAUGCUGUAAAGGUUGUUCAAACGGGUCUUGCACUAAUUAAAUCCGAUCUCGCCUCAAAUACCACCAUCCUCUACAAGAAAAAUGAUACGGCUUAGCUGGCGGUCCUGAAGAUCGCUGCUAUAGAGAGAGUUAAUGUGGCGUUCUUAAGCAAUCCGCUGCCUAGAAAGUUAAAAUAAAACUUGUGUGGCGGUCUUUAGCUGGCACGUCGGAUUUUACGAUGGAACCGGAUUUGAGCCCAGUCUAAAUAACUCUCGAGAUCUAAAAUCCAAAAGCUCUGUGGAUCCCGCAUUUUCUUACUUCCCGUGUUCAAAAAAAUCCGUGUUGCAUAGUUUUGACGAAGAAGGGAAAGAUCAAAUUCUCAAACUCUCACUAUCUCUCUCUCCCUAUCUCUGAAAAUCUUCUUCUCAAUAGUUGCAGUGGUUAAAGGGGCAUAAAUCGGACAUAGGUACCUGUGGUUUCAAAUCCACAUUUCAAAGCUGAAUCAUUCUCAUUGAAUGACCAGAGUCAUUUGAGAAAAAGGAUGUGUGUGAAAUCCAGUUGAGAUACUCUUGAUUUUCAACCUAUUUACCCCUUGGACAAGAGAGUUAUUUCUCUGAUUACAUCACAGUAACAUACCUUUGGGUUUUCCAAGUUGCUGCAACGUAGCUGGUUUGGCUGUAAAAUGUUCAACCAUUAUGUCAAGUGGAUUUGCAUUGGACGAUGUGUUCCAUUAUUUGAGAAAUUGAUUUUUGUUAAAGUCCUUGUACUUUUUAUAUGUCAACUGGUUAUUGUAUUUAAACAAUUUCUUUUGGACAUUGUAAUAAUUA